rnacentral:lncRNA from 1 species
UUGAAAAACGACGCCUUUUACAGCUGGCCGAGCCUAUGCUCCCUUCUUCUGCCGUAGUAGCACUAAUAAUGCACGGACUGUACGCGGAAGUCCUGAAGCAAGUGCGAGUACGAUCACUUAAACUAUAGAUGGGCUCCUGGAGUGCCUUCAGGACAUACCAUCUAGUUCAGAAGCAAAUAUAACUGCUAACUCAAGCAGUCGCUUCAGACGGACCGGCGCGGAUUGGUCAAGCCGUAAUCAACGAGAACCGAGCCACCUUGCAGUCGGCACAGAGAACUUGGGUUGGCGUGCUCCCAAAGGUCGGGUGAAUAACGUCGACAACGACC